UUGUGCAGCAGAUGCACUGCCUGAUGUCCAACGAAAAUUAAUUAUUGUCAAAGAAUUGGAGAUUUGAAGAUUAAGAUCUCAAUGCUUCUUCCACCACUGCUUCACUAUAUUGAAGCUCAGCACAAACACACAAACACAGCCGUGAGUGAAAUCACAGUUAAGUAAACACAAAUAGUAACCAGCGAAAGCAGCUGCUGUGUUUGGGUGUUAUGGAAACACAUGCAGCCUCUCAGUCCUCCAUUACCCAGCGCCUCCGAACAGGUUUUAAAAAUGAUAAAAGUAAGCUUCAAAAAUAAACCCAUUGUAAAGUGACACACGUACACUAUAACUCAUAAGGUCCGAUUACACACGAUGAUUGUUUGGGUAUGUACACUUACAUGGGAGGGUAAAACACGAGAAUACUCACUGCGCAGCCUAUCUGAUUAUCCGACGGACUCCUGCAAACUUCUUUCACUUUCGAUACCAGCGAGAGGUCGAAGGAGGAAGGAAACACACACAAACCCCUGGACUCACAGCAGAAAUUACGCACAGACCCUGAAGACGUCACCCAAAUCACCGAGUAUUGAAUUAGAGCGAGAUAUUCCUCCAGAGUUGUGUAGCUUCAGGUGCUGCUGUAGUGCAAGAAUAAACUGAACGUCUUUAAAAAGCUAAAGAGAGACACACUGUGCCACCGAGGCUUAACUGCAAAAUGGUAAUCCAAGUCAAAGUAGCUGGACUCAGACCAGAGAUAACGACCAUCACGCUGUGCGACAAUGAAGAGCAGCUGAAGAAGAUCACUGUACUGCAGUUAAAAGAGAAAAUUACUGAAGAACUAAAGAUAAGUUUCGAAUACCGGAUCAUCUUCGCAGACCUUCAGCUGGAUGAACAUGAACUUCUGGUAUCUUAUGGGAUCCAGCACAUGUCUAUCCUUUACGUGAUUCGAAGAGUACUGGGGGGGGUGGGGGGGUGAUCCGGGAAGGGAGAUGGUGGAAUGGGUGACAAGGAGGGCAAAAACCGAAGUAUGGAAAGGCUCUUUCUUUUGUAAACCUGCUCUGGAUAUAUCUGUUUUCCGACUGGGAUGCAUUCAUAACACACCAGAGCUGCACUACAGCAGCCUGAGUGCCCUAACAGUUUUCUCAGGUGCCACUCUGGUGUGAUUUUUAGUGUAAAAUGAAACUCUAUGAAACCUAAUCCUGUGUAUGCAAAAUUUAAUUAAGGUAUCCGUACUUGAUGUGACAAGGCAUUACUGCCCAAAGAUGAAAGGAGGGCAGCGUUGAACAGAGAAAAUGAGAGAAUUUAAAUUGGACAAUACGUGCACAAAUGCAGAUACUUGCACAAAGACCGCAAUGCAUUGCAGUUCAGAGUGGCUGCCAAGUGCUGUCCAAGCCUUGUUUGUGUUAUUACUGAUCCAUUUUUAAACCCAUUUCCACAGUUUUUUGUGGAUUGAUAAUUCAAUUUAAAUUGCAUUAUGUACUGUAUGUGUCUGUUGUUUGAAGUAUGUAUAAUCAAAGUGAAAGCUCUUUCAGCUCUUUGAAAUUGUUCAGGCAGAAAUAUUAGGGGUGCAACUGUGUUUUUACCUAUCGAGAAGACAUCACCGUAUAAACAUCAGCAGCAGUCAAGCCAUCUCCGAGGAUUAUACUGAGGAUGU